rnacentral:rRNA from 1 species
AACGAACGCUGGCGGCAUGCCUAACACAUGCAAGUCGAACGAGACCUUCGGGUCUAGUGGCGCACGGGUGCGUAACGCGUGGGAACCUGCCUUUAGGUUCGGAAUAACUCAGAGAAAUUUGUGCUAAUACCGGAUGAUGUCUUCGGACCAAAGAUUUAUCGCCUUUCGAUGGGCCCGCGUUGGAUUAGCUAGUUGGUGGGGUAAAGGCCUACCAAGGCGACGAUCCAUAGCUGGUCUGAGAGGAUGGUCAGCCACACUGGGAGUGAGACACGGCCCAGACUCCUACGGGAGGCAGCAGUGGGGAAUAUUGGACAAUGGGCGAAAUGCUGAUGCAGCAAUGCCGCGUGAGUGAUGAAGGCCUUAGGGUUGUAAAGCUCUUUUACCCGUGAUGAUAAUGACAGUACCGGGAGAAUAAGCUCCGGCUAACUCCGUG